rnacentral:misc_RNA from 1 species
CGCAUCAAUAUCUCUCCUCCUCUCCCGUAUUGGUGCUCGCUCUGGAGCUUAUCUCCCACCACCGAUCGCUGAUCUUCCUGGCCGUGCCGCUCAACGUGUGGAGAAAAAAAAAUCCCACCGCCCCAGCCAGGUCUUCUUCCCCCUGCGCGCUUAUCUUCAGCCGCCGUUCAGUGUUCGUGGGACAGAGAAAAAUCUGGCCGUCGUUCUUCACGCGCAGCUCCCUCGUGCUCCAUUUUCUCUGGCCGCUACUCUGGCCGGCGUUCUCUGCUUGCUUCAGCUCCAGCGCCCAGCCUCAGCUCGCGCCCAAGCUCCUGCGCGUCUCUCAGCCCUGCGCGCGAGCUCAGCAUCUCCCUGCGCACCGCGGCAUCGCCUCUCCCUGACCGCGGUCUCCUCCAGCUCACCGGAGCUCUCUGCCGCGCCUGCUGCUUCCCCGGCCAUGGUAGUCGCCGCUCUAGCCCAUGGCCGAGCUCGCCCUAGCGCCGUCCCCCUGUUUCUUUCUGCCGCGAGCAGCUCCCUGGUGCUCGGACCCAGCUCCGCGCGCUUCCUGCUCCCAUGGCCAGCGGUGCUCUAGCCCCUGCGUCGCGCGUCUGAGUCGCCCUCCAGCGCCGCGCCCGACUCCAGCCAGCCUUGCUCCUCUUUCUCCCUGCCGUGCGCUUGCCAGCUCGGAUUUUGCUAGCCGCUGUUCUCUAACCCAUGUGCUGGUCGGUGUCGUGGAGUUUUUGUUUGAUCAACUCGUCAUCGCGUCGUUUGCCGUCGAGUGUCAAACACGUCAUCCUCUGCUCGAACUCUACCUCACCAGCUCGCUCCCGACGUCAGCUGAAAGCCGUUGUCGUUUCGCGCGUCAGCAAGAAAUCCCAAAAAUCGGGUGAAGACGGAAUUAGCAGGCCGAUAUUCCCAAGCGCUCGACAAAUUGACUGGAUCAGAAAAUCGCUACCGAUCUCGUGGAUUCGUGUCAGCUGUUGAAACGGUACGUUGGUUGACUGUGUGAUGCGGAAGAUGAGCCAAGUCGACCCCAAGCGCGGGCUAAUCCGCAGGAUGAUGCUGAUGGACAAACCUGAAAAUGGUUAAAUCAAGCGAAUGUUCGGUCGAGGGAUACUCGUCAAGCGGACGUCAUCUAACAAACACUAACCUAGUGUUUAUUCCAGGUAUCUUCGGAUUUAUGAUAAAAGCAUACACGAUGAGGAGCUUGAUCGUGACGAAGGUUGCCAUCGCUCCGAAGCUGUGAGGAAGGAAGCUUCGGCUAAAUCGCAGAAAAGGGAACCGACUUAAAAGAGAAAAGGAUGUUCAGUCCUCAUAGAUUUUUCUAUAAGCCAAUAGUAAAUGUAAAGGGCAUAAUUGUAAUUUCUCAUAGGCUGUGUCCUGUGCCUAUAAAUAGAUGAACAGUACCCCCAUACUGUUCACGCUGACUUGUACUCAUUUUUGCGUCACGCUUGUACUUUCAUUUUCUGUCAAGCCGAAG